rnacentral:rRNA from 1 species
UACGAGGGGGGCGAGCGUUGUUCGGAAUUAUUGGGCGUAAAGGGCGCGUAGGCGGUGCGGUAAGUCACCUGUGAAAUCCCCGGGCUCAACCUGGGAAUGGCAUUGGAUACUGGCUCGCUAGAGUGCGGUAGAGGGUGGUGGAAUUCCCGGUGUAGCAGUGAAAUGCGUAGAGAUCGGGAGGAACAUCUGUGGCGAAGGCGGCCACCUGGACCAACACUGACACUGAGGCACGAAAGCGUGGGGAGCAAACAGG